GACAGAGAGGGCUAGUGUUAUUCGGAAUUAUUGGGCGUAAAGGGCACGUAGGCGGUGAAUUAAGUUGAAAAUGAAAUCCCAAAGCUUAACUUUGGAGCUGUUUUCAAUACUGAUUCUCUUGAGUUCGAUAGAGGAUAGUGGAAUUUCUAGUGUAGAAAUUAAAUUCAUAAAUAUUAGAAGGAACACCAGAGGCGAAGGCGACUAUCUGGAUCGAUACUGACGCUGAUGGUGCGAAAGCAUGGGUAGCAAACAGG
rnacentral:rRNA from 1 species